AUGUUUCAAACAAGUAUUUGCUGUGUUGCCAAAGUAGAAAGAGCAGAAGGGAAACAUCAUGGGAAGAAAGACUAUUUUGUUUCUGAUUGCAGGGGUCCUUGGGGCAUAUUAUGUUUAUACUCCUCUCUCAGAUAAUAUUGAGGAACUCUGGUGACUGGUGUGGAUAGCUACACCUGUGAAAAUGGUAACAAAUUUGCUCAUAGAAGACCCAGAUGUCAAGAUCAAACUCAAGCUUCAGUCUUUAAUAUAUCCUGCCCUUCAGACGCUUGACAUGGAUUUACUAUCACAUCAGAAAAAACUAGACUCUCUAGUUCUGUCCAAACCAUUCAUGGUCAGGUUCUGUAGGGAAUACUUUACCACAGACAGAUCACUUGAAAAAGUCAUGUUCUUCAACAUGUACCAAUGGAAUCAAACCAUCUGUUCAGAUUUGUUAAUUGGAGUUCCUUGCUCACUGAGAAGUUUAAGAAAGGCCACUUUUGUUAUAUUCCAACUCGUGGUAGUUCUGAGCUAGCUAAAAAAUAUCCAGGGUUCCUAGAUGUGAGGGCAGCCCCUUUGUUGGCCAAUGACAAGUUACAUGGUUUACCCCUGUCCUAUAUCAUCACCUGUCAAUAUGACAUCUUAAGAGAUGAUGGACUCAUGUACAUCACGCGACUUUAGAACUCUGGAGUUCAAGUGACACAUAACCACAGUGAAGAUGGAUUCCAUGGAGCACUUUCCUAUAAUGGGCUUAAAAUUGAGUAUGGAAUAGAAAAUCAGUAUAUGAGUUGGCUAAGUGAAAAUCUAUAGUAAAAAUGUAAGCAAUGGUUUAUUUAAAAUGUAUAAGGCUCAGAACAGGAAACAAAUUAGUGAAAAUCAAAGGGUUGAUGUUUGAAUUGGUCUUUAUCAUCUGUGACCUUUCUAAGGUCCUCAUAGCCAUAGUGGGUUUUGGUUUUGUUUUUAUUUAUUGGCCGCUAGCAAAUUCUUCUCCAUUUUAUUUAUUAUCCUGUUAUUCACUCACUUCUGUGAAGAUACUUUAGUAUUUUCUUCUGCUACCAUUACUCACUUGUUAAAUCUCUAGUUUACAGCUAUAGUUUUUUGAUUGCCGAAUAGUAUUACAGAUGAGAAGAAAGUUUUAAACAAACACGUCUGAUUUGUAAAAUGCCAGUUUUAGUCAACAUGAAUUUAGAGACUUAAAAUGUUUCCCUGUGAGAACUGAUAUGAAAUAUGUGCCAUCUCUUUUAAAAAGCAUUUGCCUCAAUAUAAUGCUGUUUGCCUGUCACUGUAAAA
ensembl:lncRNA AADACP1 arylacetamide deacetylase pseudogene 1